rnacentral:snRNA from 1 species
GUGCUUGCUUCGGCAGUACAUAUACUAAAAUUGGAAUGAUACAGGGAAGAAUAGCAUGGCCCCGGCACAGGAUGGCAUGCAAAUUCACAAAGUGCUUCAUUUUUUU